GACGAACGCUGGCGGCGUGCUUAACACAUGCAAGUCGAACGAAGAGCGAUGGAAGCUUGCUUCUAUCAAUCUUAGUGGCGAACGGGUGAGUAACGCGUAAUCAACCUGCCCUUCAGAGGGGGACAACAGUUGGAAACGACUGCUAAUACCGCAUACGAUCCAAUCUCGGCAUCGGGACUGGAUGAAAGGUGGCCUCUAUUUAUAAGCUAUCACUGAAGGAGGGGAUUGCGUCUGAUUAGCUAGUUGGAGGGGGAACGGCCCACCAAGGCGAUGAUCAGUAGCCGGUCUGAGAGGAUGGACGGCCACAUUGGGACUGAGACACGGCCCAGACUCCUACGGGAGGCAGCAGUGGGGAAUCUUCCGCAAUGGACGAAAGUCUGACGGAGCAACGCCGCGUGAGUGAUGACGGCCUUCGGGUUGUAAAGCUCUGUUAAUCGGGACGAAUGGUUCUUGUGCGAAUAGUGCGAGGAUUUGACGGUACCGGAAGAGAAAGCCACGGCUAACUACGUG
rnacentral:rRNA from 1 species